rnacentral:rRNA from 1 species
UACGUAGGGUGCAAGCGUUGUCCGGAUUUAUUGGGUUUAAAGGGUGCGUAGGCGGCCCGUUAAGUCAGCGGUGAAAUCCCAGGGCUCAACCCUGGAACUGCCGUUGAUACUGGCGGGCUUGAGUUCGGUCGAGGCGGGCGGAAUGGAAGCUGUAGCGGUGAAAUGCAUAGAUACCACCAAGAACCCCGAUUGCGUAGGCAGCUCGCUAGGCCGAAACUGACGCUGAGGCACGAAAGCGUGGGGAGCGAACAGG